rnacentral:rRNA from 1 species
UAGUCUACGCCGUAAACGAUGAGUGCUAGAUGUCGGGAAUAUAUUCUCGGUUUCGUAGCUAACGCAUUAAGCACUCCGCCUGGGGACUACGAUCGCAAGAUUAAAACUCAAAGGAAUUGACGGGGGCUCGCACAAGUGGUGGAGCAUGCGGUUUAAUUCGAUGCUACGCGAAAAACCUUACCAACCCUUGACAUGGUGGUCGCGAAUCACAGAGAUGAGAUUCUUCAGUUCGGCUGGACCACACACAGGUGUUGCAUGGCUGUCGUCAGCUCGUGUCGUGAGAUGUUGGGUUAAGUCCCGCAACGAGCGAAACCCUCAUCCUUAUUUGCCAGCGAUUCGGUCGGGAACUAUAAGGAAACUGCCAGUGAUAAACUGGAGGAAGGUGGGGACGAUGUCAAGUCAUCAUGACCCUUACGGGUUGGGCUACACGCGUGCUACAAUGGUAUCUACAAAGGGAAGCAAGACGGCGACGUGGAGCAAAUCCCAAAAAGAUAUCUCAGUUC